rnacentral:piRNA from 1 species
UAGGAUGGCCUCGGAUUAUACUAUCCCAAC